GGGAACAAAAAGAAUCAGGGAGACUUUUACCCUCGAAGAGUUUUCAGACUGAGGAGCUAUGCUGUCUACAGACUCCAAGACAGGGUCAACAGUGGGGUGAGAUCAACGAACGCUGCUGUUGUUAUUUAUGAUAUGGAGCUGGAUUUCAUGUUGACUGAAGUGUGGAAUAUAUACAAAAUACAGCCGGAGUGCAGUGGCUCACACCUGUAACCCCAGCACUUUGGGAGGCCGAGGUGGGUGGAUCACCUGAGAACAUUUUUGGGAAGACAAGACUCUUUUCCCCUGGUGUCAGAAGUAAAGACCUACAGAUAUACCAGCAGUCUCUCAGCAUCGGUAGCCUCAUUAGGGAGCUACUGAAUAGCAGCUAAUGGUCUUCUGUAGAACAUAAGUUGAAACAAUACUAGAUAGAAUGAUUAUUACAAAAACAACC
rnacentral:lncRNA from 10 species